GGAGACGCUGGACCUCAGGGUGGUCGUGGAUCCGAGGGCCCCUCUGGAGCCCGUGGUGAGCCCGGUAACCCCGGACCUGCUGGCCCCGCUGGACCUUCUGGAAACCCCGGAGCUGAUGGAGCCGCUGGACCCAAGGGAGUCCCUGGCGCUGCUGGAGCUGCCGGAGCUCCCGGUUUCCCCGGACCCCGUGGACCCCCCGGACCCCAGGGUGCUGCUGGUGCCCCCGGACCCAAGGGUAACAC